rnacentral:rRNA from 1 species
ACACAGAGAGCUUGCUCUCGGGUGACGAGCGGCGGACGGGUGAGUAAUGUCUGGGAAACUGCCUGAUGGAGGGGGAUAACUACUGGAAACGGUAGCUAAUACCGCAUAACGUCGCAAGACCAAAGUGGGGGACCUUCGGGCCUCAUGCCAUCAGAUGUGCCCAGAUGGGAUUAGCUAGUAGGUGGGGUAAUGGCUCACCUAGGCGACGAUCCCUAGCUGGUCUGAGAGGAUGACCAGCCACACUGGAACUGAGACACGGUCCAGACUCCUACGGGAGGCAGCAGUGGGGAAUAUUGCACAAUGGGCGCAAGCCUGAUGCAGCCAUGCCGCGUGUAUGAAGAAGGCCUUCGGGUUGUAAAGUACUUUCAGCGAGGAGGAAGGCGUUAAGGUUAAUAACCUUAGCGAUUGACGUUACUCGCAGAAGAAGCACCGGCUAACUCCGUGCCAGCAGCCGCGGUAAUACGGAGGGUGCAAGCGUUAAUCGGAAUUACUGGGCGUAAAGCGCACGCAGGCGGUCUGUCAAGUCGGAUGUGAAAUCCCCGGGCUCAACCUGGGAACUGCAUUCGAAACUGGCAGGCUAGAGUCUUGUAGAGGGGGGUAGAAUUCCAGGUGUAGCGGUGAAAUGCGUAGAGAUCUGGAGGAAUACCGGUGGCGAAGGCGGCCCCCUGGACAAAGACUGACGCUCAGGUGCGAAAGCGUGGGGAGCAAACAGGAUUAGAUACCCUGGUAGUCCACGCCGUAAACGAUGUCGACUUGGAGGUUGUGCCCUUGAGGCGUGGCUUCCGGAGCUAACGCGUUAAGUCGACCGCCUGGGGAGUACGGCCGCAAGGUUAAAACUCAAAUGAAUUGACGGGGGCCCGCACAAGCGGUGGAGCAUGUGGUUUAAUUCGAUGCAACGCGAAGAACCUUACCUGGUCUUGACAUCCACAGAACUUUCCAGAGAUGGAUUGGUGCCUUCGGGAACUGUGAGACAGGUGCUGCAUGGCUGUCGUCAGCUCGUGUUGUGAAAUGUUGGGUUAAGUCCCGCAA